rnacentral:rRNA from 1 species
CCCCUAGAUGUUCUGGGCCGCACGCGCGCUACACUGAACAGUUCAACAAGUCUUAACCUUGGCCGAUAGGUCUGGGUAAUCUUUGAACGCUGUUCGUGAUUGGGAUAGACCUUUGCAAUUAUGGGUCUUCAACGAGGAAUUCCUAGUAAACGCAAGUCAUCUGCUUGCAUUGAUUACGUCCCUGCCCUUUGUACACACCGCCCGUCGCACCUACCGAUUGAAUGGUCCGGUGAAAUCUCGGGACGGCGGCUUGGUCGCUUGCGUCCGACUGCUGAAACUUGAUUAAACCAUAUCAUUUAGAGGAAGGUGAAGUCGUAACA